rnacentral:rRNA from 1 species
AGUGAACGCUGGCGGCAGGCCUAACACAUGCAAGUCGAACGGCAGCACAAGAGAGCUUGCUCUCUGGGUGGCGAGUGGCGGACGGGUGAGGAAUGCAUCGGAAUCUGCCCAUUUGUGGGGGAUAACCUCGGGAAACCGGGACUAAUACCGCAUACGACCUACGGGUGAAAGCAGGGGAUCUUCGGACCUUGCGCAGAUGGAUGAUCCGAUGCCGGAUUAGCUAGUUGGAGGGGUAAAGGCCUACCAAGGCGACGAUCCGUAGCUGGUCUGAGAGGAUGAUCAGCCACACUGGGACUGAGACACGGCCCAGACUCCUACGGGAGGCAGCAGUGGGGAAUAUUGGACAAUGGGCGCAAGCCUGAUCCAGCCAUGCCGCGUGUGUGAAGAAGGCCUUCGGGUUGUAAAGCACUUUUGUUGGGAAAGAAAAGCAGCCGGUUAAUACCCGGUUGUCAUGACGGUACCCAAAGAAUAAGCACCGGCUAACUUCGUG